rnacentral:lncRNA from 1 species
GCAGACUGGCCUUCAGCUAACAUGCCAGACCCAAAGCUGUGCCUGACCAAGAUGCUUCCGUCCUGCUCUCUGGAUCCUCCUGGAGGUCAGCAGGCCAAAGGCAAGGCCUGCCUGCGGAUUGGCCCGGCCAUAAUUGUCAUUGUAACCAGCGCCGGCUUAUGGGAGGAUUUAACUGCAGUGAUAUAAGCUCCAGAUACAGGACUGUGGAAAAAGAAGCCAGUGUUUCCAGAUCAAAGCAAAGAAGAGCCCAGCACUAUGUCGUGGGCGCAGGGACUAGCUUUCCUCCGGAAUAGACAUGAUCGUUUGCUUACAGCCCAGUUUGAACAACCAUCUUAGGAUCAUGGGAGGCUGCACAAUGUGGUGGGGUCUCUGGGGAGAAGACGAGCAGGCCUCGGACCACAGGUCACUGAGAUAUAGGCCUUGCUGCUCACAUCAGGGCUCUCUUAGAAGUAACGACUGGUGGUUCCCAGGCAGGACUUCCGGGUCAGCUUCUACUCUGUCACCUAGGUCCCUGUUUGGAGACCUGCUCAGAACUGUCAUGGCCAUAGUCCCCAUUUAAUGGCAUCUUUCAUUUUAUUUAGAGCUUGAUUUGUUUACAAACUAAUAAAUAUGAUUUAUAAAAU